rnacentral:tRNA from 1 species
CGUCGAGAUGGACGACGGUGUCCACGGCGUGCUCGGCCAGGACCCGGGUGAUCGCCGGCCCGCGGAUGUCGGCCCGGACGAACUCGGCGUCCCCCAGCGG